rnacentral:rRNA from 1 species
UACGUAGGGGGCAAGCGUUAUCCGGAUUUACUGGGUGUAAAGGGAGCGUAGACGGCAGGGCAAGUCUGGAGUGAAAGGCAGGGGCCCAACCCCUGGACUGCUCUGGAAACUGUCCGGCUGGAGUGCAGGAGAGGUAAGUGGAACUCCAUGUGUAGCGGUGGAAUGCGUAGAUAUAUGGAAGAACACCAGUGGCGAAGGCGGCUCUCUGGUCUGCAACUGACGCUGAGGCUCGAAAGCAUGGGUAGCGAACAGG